UGGCGAACGGGUGAGUAAUACAUAAGUAACCUGCCUCAUACAGGGGGAUAACAGUUGGAAACGGCUGCUAAUACCGCAUAAGCGCACAGUACCGCAUGGUACGGUGUGAAAAACUCCGGUGGUAUGAGAUGGACCCGCGUCUGAUUAGGUAGUUGGUGGGGUAACGGCCUACCAAGCCGACGAUCAGUAGCCGACCUGAGAGGGUGACCGGCCACAUUGAGACUGAGACACGGCCCAA
rnacentral:rRNA from 1 species